AGCCAAUAAGUCUUUUAAAGACUUUUACCUUGAAAGUUUAAAAAGGGAGUUCAAUCCUCCCAUUGGCUU
rnacentral:tRNA from 1 species